CACCCUUGAGGACUUGGUGUUCUUCAACAAGUGGGGUGUUCUAAAUUUCAGAUUUUUAGCUCAUCCUUGAGGUCAAGGAUUAUUUGAAGAGGAAGGGUAUGUAAUGACUUGAGAAAUGGCAAUAAAAUGAAUGCAGUCACUCGAGUUCGAAACUAGAAAGACAGAGAGGGAAAUAACUAACACUAAAAUCAACGGCCACGAACAGAAUUGAGUUAAUGAGCUCCAAGAGCUCAGAUGCAGCCAGCUGGACGAGUUUUGUUAUAAAACCUAAAAAACUCAUUUGGCAGAGUAUUAUGGCAUUACUGGUAUAGUCCAAAUUCCCUCAUUUUCUGAAUCCUCUCAUCUCUCUUUCUAUCCUCUAAUCUGAUUCUAUUCUAUUCUCUUCUCUUCCCUUCUACAGGUUACAAGCUCAUCUAUGGAGUCGAGUAGAUAGUUUUUCAUAUUUUUAGUUACCUUUAGUUUUCAUUAGUUGUAAUCAUUACUCAAUAUCAGUCAAUAUACUAUCAGAAAAUUAUCCUAAAAAUAUUGUGAUUACUCCUUUUUAGCUUUUGAGAAUUGAGAUCAUAACAAAUCAUUUCCACCAAAAUCAACAACCCUCCCUUCCUCUCAUUUCCAAUGAACUCUACUUUGGCAUUGAUGCCAACACUAAUAUUAUUACGCCCUCUGAUACAUUUUGUACUUUUCUUUUGGAAACACAGUCCACAAAUUGCUACUACCAAAAAAAAGAGAGGCAAUGAUGAUGAUAUUAAUUAUUUGCUGUGUGAUGAUGAUAUAUGGGCUGAAAAUUAUUGUUAUUAUUCGGGGCAAUGGAGAAAACCCGACCUGUAUCUUGGCGGGGCAAUACUCGAAACCCGGUUCGUUUUGCAGCCAUGGCGUUGUCGUAUUUUUCUUCUUUUUGCUCCCCAUUUUACACACAUCUGAGCCUCCCUCUAUUUGAUAAAUUCAGGUCCGGGUCAAAAAUGAUUUUUUUUAGAAACAAUAUAAAUCCCUACAGUUUUCUUAAUUAUAGGAAAUUUUGAUAUUUGCAUAAUUGCUAAAAUCUCAAUUUUGGGUCUAGCCCCCGAUACAUCCAAUGAAAUACAUUGUUUUCUUUACAAAAAUACAUAAUUAGCUUCCAAUACUCUCUUUUUUAUUUUAGAUGUGUCAAGAUACAUAAUUAGCUCCUGAUACAUCCAAAGAAGAUAAGCAUUAUUGGGUAUUUUUGUACUCCCUCCGUUUCAAAAAAAAAUAAUUUACUUUCCUUUUUAGUCCAUUUCAAAAUGAAUGACCCUUUUUUUUAUAAUAUUUUAAUUUCUACUUUACAAGUGACGUGCUUAAAACCACAAAAUUGAAAAACAUUUUGGUACAUUUGAUACAACUGUAAUUUAGGACCAUAAGAAUAAAAAAUCUUCUUUACUUUCUUAAACUCCGUGUCAAGUCAAACUAGAUCAUUCUUUUUGAAACGGAGGGAGCAAUUAUUUUAUAAAGGUGGGGAUUUGUCUAAGUGUAACUGGUAAAGUUAAUGUGAUGUGAUCAGAAUGUUAUGGUUCAAGUCGUGAAGACAGCCUCUUGCAGAAAUGCAGAAUAAUACUCUAUGCUAUAAACCUUUGUGACCGGCUCCGUGGUAUUGGGAGCGUUGUGCACCGGGUUGCUCUUUUUUCAGGGUGGUUGGCCAUCUGUGAAAUUGCAGGAUAUUACUAUGCGAAAAUAUAAACUUAUGUUUCACCAAGAAGUUGUUUGUUACGAGGGGCAUAAAUUAAAGACCAGCACUAAAUAGGGGCAGUAACUGUGAAUGACUCAGUGAUGCAAGCUCAGCCUAGGAUGAAGAAUGAGCCCAACAGGGAGAAAGGGAAUUUCUUUUGAGGUUGGUUGGCCCCCUCUGAUUGGCCUAUGAUUUCUCUUGUAGCCAAACCAACAACCCUCUACAAAGGUGGAAACAAGAAGCUGUGUUUUCAGUGGCGCGCUUAUGUCCCGAGCAAGGCUUAAAACAUGUUGAGCGCUUUGCAUCACUUAAUGUGCGCUUUAUGUCUGUCACCAAGGCUCUAAGGCAUACUUUUCCUUGCCAAUUAGAAGCGAAACUAAGCAAUUGAUAUUUCACUUUAUCGUAAUUUUUUUCAAUUUCCUUGUCCAUACAUUUGUCAUUCUUCUUAUAAUUAUUAGUCUUGGACUAGAUAUAUUUUUUUUCUUCCUCCCUUUGAGCCUCUCUUCGUUAAAGCUCACGCUGUAUUUGCAUUGUGCACAUAAAGCCCAAUGGACCUUCUUUUUUGCUUGUUUUUCUUUUGAUAACAGGGACGAGAAGCGAUAUUUGUUUCCAUCACCUUCAAUGGUGGCGAUGUGAUGCUGACAGCAGUAGUACUAUUCAAUUUUCUGAUCAUUGUGAGCUACAUUUAUUUGCAGUUCUUUAAGAGCACGAGGCUAAAGUGCAAUUGACCCUUUGAGCUAAGAUCUCAUUUGUUUUAUGCUUAUGCUUAAAAGCUACUUAAAAUACUAAGCUCAUCCAAAUAGUUUUUUUUUUCCUUAUUAAGGUUGUUCAAACCGGCUCUUUUAAAAAAGUUUCCAUUUUUAAGGCAGUGAUUAUACAGUUAAUCGGGCCGAUUUUUGGGGCAUGGAGACAAUAUGACACAUAUCUUGGCAUGGCAAACCCAAAUGGCUUGUGAUUGAGUCUUUGGGGCAUGGAGACAAUAUGACACAUAUCUUGGCAUGGCAAACCCAGAUGGCUUGUAAUUGAGUCUUCUCUUUCACAUGCAACUGGUUCUUUUGCAGCCAUGACCGUUUUCACCCUCUCUUGGCCCCAUUUUUUGCAGCUCUGAGCCUCAAUUUUCAACUAGUCUGACUGGAUGUCCAAGGAUUUGAAGAGUUCUGAACCUAAAUGACCAAAAAUCCAUCUGUAUGCGCACACACACAAAUAGACGCAUCAUGAGAAAAUGUCAAAAUGGUCCCUUAUUGUGACAGUGAUGAUCUUCAAUCUAUCCUCUUGAGCUAGUAAUUGAGCAUUGAGACUACCCGGACGGUAUCUUGGUGGAGCAAUGACCCGGAUGCUUGUGAUUUUGUCGCAUGCAACUUGUGAAUAUUUGCAGCCAUAGCUUGGCUGGACUUUCUUUGCCUGAGCAUAAUACAAAUCUGAACCUCAAUUGUCACUUGUGUCUUCCUAUGAGCGUAUUUGAUAUGGAGUAAAAUGUUGUAGUGAAUCAGCCCUAAAGUGGCUACCUUGUGUACAACAACAUCCUUAGGGUGAUCCCUGGAAUGUGGCUACAUUGUGUCAUUUCUACUAAUAUGACCUUCAACAUGAGGCCCAUAAUAAGGCUGUGAUGAUUCUCAUUCUUUACUCAUCAAAUGGUUGAGCUUCGCUGUAUCUUGGCGUGGCAGCUUUUGGUGGGUCUUGUGAGAUAUUGGAGCUAUUUUGGUUUCUGCCUCUAGCAAAGGCUCCUCGUACUAGCAGCCAUGGUGGGCUUUAGCUUAUGUUUGAGAAAAGGUGAAUCUGCACUACCCAAGUAUCUGUUUGUGGUGAAAGAAUUGAUGCUUUUUAUAUUACACAACUUAUGCUGCUUAAGUUAAUAUCUACAAAACUUACGAGACAAAAGCUCUCUAAACUUACCAGGUGGCUUUCCAAACAGGUAGGCUCCAAUCUCCAUCUAUAAAGAAUCUUUACUCAAGAAUGUGGAUCAGUUUAGCCCAGAAGGUAGAAUGAGACCAACAGGGAGAACAAAAAAAUGGAUUUCUUGGAGGGUGGUUGCCCCCUCUGAUUGACCUAUGAUUUCUCCAUCCCUCCAAACUAACAGCCCUCCAUUGCUAUAGCAUCAAUAUUACUACUAAUUAUUACUCCCUCCGUUCCAUUUUUUCUUUUCUUGAAAACUGUCCACAAAUUGCUAUAUUAAAGAGGCAGUGAUGCUGAUAUUUGCUGUGUGAUGGUUCUUCUGGGCUGAAAAAAUUUGGGGCACGGAGAAAACUCGACUUGUAUCUUGGCGGGGCAAAACCCAAAACGGGGUUUAUUUUGCAGAAAUGGUGUUGUUGUCUUCUCCUAUCCCCCCCUCACCAAACACACAUUUGAGCCUCUAUUUCAAAUCCAGAUCUGAUGGAAACCCAGUUCAUUUUAGCUCAAAAGACUGAGGUAAUCAGGAAAAAAAUUGGGAAUUUUUCAGUCUCUGGUAUGUCAAUGAUUUCUUGUUUGAUCUAAUUUUAACAGCCCUUUUUAGCCUUUACUGUAAUUUCCUGGAUUUUGGGCUGUACACUUUACUCGCUCCGUGCACUUCAACGUAUAUAUUUUUUAAAUCGUAUUAAUAUGAGAAUGGAUUGUAACUUAUAUUAUUUUUUGUAUAAUUUUCAAAUAUCUAAAUUUAAAAUUCAAAAUAUUGCAUUAAUCAAAGGAGCUGUUUGGCCAUGAACCAGCAAACCAGCAAUGGUUGUUGCCGUCGCCUUCAACCAAACCAGCAACCCUUUCCAAAAGUAGAAACAAGAAGCAAUGGUUGUUGCCGUCGCCUUCAAUGCUCGCAAUGUGAUGCUGAUGGGAGUAAUACUAUUCAAUUUUCUGAUCAUACUGAGCUACAUUUAAUUGCAAUUCUUUAAGGGCAUGGGGCAAAAGAGCAAAUGACCCUCUGAGCUAAGGUCUUGUUUCUUUUAUGCUUAUGCUUAAAUGCCGCUUAAAAUAAGUCCUCCAUCCAAACAGACUCUUGUUAAGUUUUCUUGUUAAGGUUGUUCGAACAGGUUCUUGUGGAAAAGUUUCCAUUUUUGCCGAGAGAGGCAUUGAUGAUAUCGGUAAUUUGGGCUGAUUUUUGGGGCAUCUAGACAAUCUGACCAGUAUCUUGGCAUGGCAAAUCCGGGUGGCUUGUGAUUGAGUUUUCUCUUUCACAUGCAAUUGGUUCUUUUGCAGCUAUGGUGAUUGUUUCCUUCUCUUUGCCCUAUUUUUUGCAGUUCUUAGCCUCACUUCCAACUAGUGCAACUGGAUGUUGAAGGCUCGAGGAGUUCAACAACAACAGCAAACCCAGUGUAUUCCCACAAAGUGAGGUAUGAGGAGGGUAAAAUGUACGCAGUCCAUACCGCUACCUCCGAAGAAGUAGAGAGGCUGUUUCCGAUAGACCCCGGCUGUUUCCAAAGGCUCGAGGAGUUCUAAACCUAAAUAACGAAAAAAUCCUCUGUAUAUGGACACAAACACAUAAUGAGAGUGUCAAAAAUGGUUCCUUACCGGGACAGUGAUGAUCUUUAAAUCUAUCCUCUUGAGCUAGUAAUUGAGCAUUGAGAGUACCCAACUGGUAUCUCAGCUGGGCAAUGACCCGGAUGGCUGUAUUUAUUGCAUGCACCUUUGGAAUAUUUGCAGCCAAGGCGUCACCGGAAUUUCUUUGCCUGAGCAAUACAGACCUGAGCGUCAAUCUAUCAGUUCAUCCCAGAAGCAAAAAUGAGGUCAACAGAGAUCAAAAAAUGGAUUUAUUGGAGGGUGGUUGCCUCUCUGAUUGGCCUAUUCUCCGUCCCACCAAACCGAAACCCUCUGUUUCUAUGUUUGUGCAAUUUCCAAUAAUACAACAACAACAAACCCAGUGUAAUCCCACAUAGUAGGGUCUGGGGAGGGUAAAAUGUAUGCAGUCCAUACUACUACCUCCGAAGAAGUGGCAGCAGUACUAUACUAAUACUAAUACUCCCUCUGUUCCACUUUAUUUUUCUUGAACACUGUCAAAGAGUUGUUGUAGAAACGUUUCCAUCUUUCUAAAGAGGCAAUGAUGAUAUUUCCCGAUGAUUCUGGGCUGAAAUUUGGGGCAUUGAGAAACACGACUCGUAUCUUGGUGGGGCAAACUUGAAGCAUGCAACCGGUUCAUUUUGCAACCAUGGCAUUGUCAUUGUCUUCUCCUCUUUGCCCCAUUUUCCACAUAUCUGAGCCUCUAUUCAAAUACGUAUUCAGAUCCUUGUUUGGUGGAAACCCAGUUCGUUUUAGCUCAAAAGACCGAAACGAUCGGAGAGAAAUGGGAAUUUGUUUUCCACGGUGGUUGACCAUCUUCGCAGCUCUAUGGUUAGAUGGACUAUGCUCCAGAUGAUGAUCGAUAUUUUUCAGUUAUUGGAACAAUGUGGGCAGCUGUGUGUUAGGCAGAAGAAAUGGUGGAAUUUGUUUCCAGCUUGUAUAUGGUGGAUAAGCCUGAAAGGGGAGGAAGGUUGAGUGUUUUGAAGAGAAAGGCAGCUCCAUGAUUACUUUUUUUUUUUUCAUAUUUUUGGUGUAAAGUUACGUUGUACUUGUUACUAGUGGAAGGUGGUAGAUCCUGUGAAAAUAGUCGAGAAGCGCUCAAGCUAGCUUGGCAGGCGGCAAACACGAUUGUCAAAAAAAAAAAAAGUGAACAAUCAUGAUGAAUCUUACUAGACAUUAUGGAUUCCGCGUAAAGAUGAACUAGGCAUGUUUAGUUGCUGUUUGUUUCUUUUAUUUGUUUUUGAAAUCUAUACAUGGGUUUCCGCACACACUUUAUGCUGGCUGAUUGUAUAUAUAGUGUAAAUGACAACAAAUUCCACCAUUUUGAAAUAUAAUCAUCUUCUCUCCCUUUUUUUUAAUUUUCUUUAUGUAUUUGAACUAAUUAAUUUAACCAUAAUUAAAAAAUAAAAUAUCUGCACUAAAUACAUACAUAACACAAUUAACUUUAUAUUUAUGGAAUUGUAAUUAAUGAAUUUCUUAAAUUCAGUAGCAGCUUUUUAAUUACAAAAUUUGUAACACCAAAUC